UGAAGGAAUACAUGCACCCUGAUAUUUAUAGCAGCAUUAUUAACAAUAGCCCAAUUAUGGAAAAAGCACAAGUCUAUCGCCUGAGGAAUGGAUAAAGAAGCUGUGGGGUCACCACUGGCUUAACCAGAAACCAGAAGACAGGGAACCUGCAGAUGCAGACCACAGACUUCUGGAGAAUGAAAGAAAUUACUUCUGUUGGCAAAAAGACAGUUUUCAUUGUGGCUACCGAGUGGGCCAGUGCCGAGCGCUAGGAGGGUAAGGACCUUCCAUCCUCCUCCACCGCCCAGCGACUGUGAUGCCAUCACAGGGACACUGUACCUCCACCUUGGGGCAGCGAUCUGGAAGGUGAAGGGCCAUCACUUGAGUUUUUAAGAGUCAAGUUCUGCAAAGCAGGGUAGUUGGCCUUCGUGUUCUGACGCACACAUACUCGGCCAGCUUGACCUGGGACCAGUAGCCUCAGAAUGCACAGGUGGACCACUCUGUCCUUGGACUUGUUGGGCACACAGGAGGCUGUUCCCCAGCGUCUUCAGAAGUGUUUUCAAAUGACGCGCCCGUGAAGUACUUUCCGGAUUCGUUUCUCCUCAUUUGUAGCGUGUCCAUUUGAUAUGCUGCUCUGGUUUAUCGUUGCGAGCCUCCUUAGGUUAGGAGCUCACAAAGGAAAGUUUUGUGUUCGAGUUUUAUGCUCAAUGGAUUUUUAUUGACCUGCAACUAACCUGAGCUUUCUUCCACCGAUUUCAAAGUUAACCACAUGGCACAGUCACAGACACUGAGAGGCUGCCUGGAACUCGGGGUCCUCGCCCAAUGCCUACAUGAGAGAUGGCACCUGUUGCUCUCCUUCCUUCCUUGCUCUUUCCUUUCCCAUCGUCACAUCCUGGAACAUAGAGACUUACCCUUGUUCCUGCACCUCAGCUAGGCUGAUAACCACUUCCUCCCUCGUCUGCUGGAUGGUCAGUCAAGGAGAUCGAUUGAUCGGCUUCCCGAUUUGGUAACAGAGGCGAGGAUCACCAACAGAAAUGAAAACGUGUCGGGACGCCUGGGUGGCUCAGUGGUUGACUGUCUGCCUUUGGCCCAGGGUGUGAUCCCGGGAUCCAGGAUCGAGUCUCACAUCGCAGGGAGCCUGCUUU